rnacentral:rRNA from 1 species
UGAGGAAUAUUGGACAAUGGGCGCAAGCCUGAUCCAGCCAUGCCGCGUGCAGGAUGACGGUCCUAUGGAUUGUAAACUGCUUUUGUACAGGAAGAAACGGUUCUACGUGUAGAACCUUGACGGUACUGUAAGAAUAAGGAUCGGCUAACUCCGUGCCAGCAGCCGCGGUAAUACGGAGGAUCCAAGCGUUAUCCGGAAUCAUUGGGUUUAAAGGGUCCGUAGGCGGUUAGAUAAGUCAGUGGUGAAAGCCCAUCGCUCAACGGUGGAACGGCCAUUGAUACUGUCUGACUUGAAUUAUUAGGAAGUAACUAGAAUAUGUAGUGUAGCGGUGAAAUGCUUAGAGAUUACAUGGAAUACCAAUUGCGAAGGCAGGUUACUACUAAUGGAUUGACGCUGAUGGACGAAAGCGUGGGUAGCGAACAGGAUUAGAUACCCAGUAGUCCCUGAGCGGGCUGGCAAGGCGCAU